rnacentral:rRNA from 1 species
UACGUAGGGGGCAAGCGUUGUCCGGAUUUAUUGGGCGUAAAGAGCGUGUAGGCGGCCAAGCAGGUCAGCUGUGAAAACUCGAGGCUCAACCUCGAGACGUCGGUUGAAACCGCUUGGCUAGAGUCCGGAAGAGGAGAGUGGAAUUCCUGGUGUAGCGGUGGAAUGCGCAGAUAUCAGGAGGAACACCGAUGGCGAAGGCAGCUCGCUGGGACGGUACUGACGCUGAGGCGCGAAAGCGUGGGGAGCGAACAGG